rnacentral:rRNA from 1 species
AUUGAACGCUGGCGGCAUGCCUUACACAUGCAAGUCGAACGGCAGCGGGGGAGAAGCUUGCUUUUCCUGCCGGCGAGUGGCGAACGGGUGAGUAAUACAUCGGAACGUGCCCUGUAGUGGGGGAUAACUAGUCGAAAGAUUAGCUAAUACCGCAUACGACCUGAGGGUGAAAGUGGGGGACCGCAAGGCCUCAUGCUAUAGGAGCGGCCGAUGUCUGAUUAGCUAGUUGGUGGGGUAAAGGCCUACCAAGGCGACGAUCAGUAGCUGGUCUGGGAGGAAGAUCAGCCACAGUGGGACUGAGAAACGGACCAGACUCGUACUGGAGGCAGCAGUGGGGAAUUUUGGACAAUGGGCGAAAGCCUGAUCCAGAAAUGCCGCGUGUGUGAAGAAGGCCUUCGGGUUGUAAAGCACUUUUGUCCGGAAAGAAAUGGCUCUGGUUAAUACCUGGGGUCGAUGACGGUACCGGAAGAAUAAGGACCGGCUAACUACGUGCCAGCAGCCGCGGUAA